AGAAUUUUGGGAGACUCCGGUAUUCCAGGACUGCCGCUCUGGUUCUAGAGCGGCCUAAGCACCACCUCUGAACUCUCACCCUGGCCACGCCCAGACGCAGGAACGUGGUUGCCUUGGUGAUGAGAAGUCCCAUCUUGUGGAAUAUUGAGGCUGGAUAGAUGGAUGGGGUGACUGUCUUUUGGGAAGCCUAGGCUCUCCAAGAUAGGCGGACCCCAUGACUCGGGAGUGCAAUAGGAGAAAAGUCCCACAGGGUUCUGAUACCUCCAUUAAUGACUACAGAACUAAGGUUAUUCAAACAGCCCCAGGAGUAUGAAUGCUUUUAAAUGGUUCUGGACGCACUCCAGCUUGACACCUGAAGUCCUCAAGGGAGCUGCUGAGAGGCCUAACGUCAACUCAUCUCAGCCGACUCAUGCACCGGAACUCUGAAGCCAAGCUUUGGUGUCAUAAAUAAUCGGUUAGAGGUGUAAUGGUUCACAGAAGAACUACAGGACCUCUUGCCGUGGGCUCCUCUAUUUAGAAAGACCCAUGGAAAUGGUCCCAGUUGCAGCCGGACCGGGAAAGAAAGAGUGCUCUAAUGCUCACCCCUCUCUUCCCUGGGCUUCCCCGCCACCCUGCUGAUCUGCUGUACUGGGAACCAAGUGAAGGACUGCACAGGUAGCUACAUUUGAUUUGUUUAGAAACUUACUCCCAGGAAUUCUGUAAGAAACGAGGUAGGUAUGAAUCACACACUGGCCACUUCCUGAUUCGGGUAACUGGGAGCAACACCGUGGUAAGUGGCUUCUGUGCUGUAUAUGCAUUUGGUUCCCAGGACACAGUAUGGAGGAUAUAAUUUCAUGACUAUUUAGGAACUGUGUCAGCGUAAAGAUUCACCAAAACAACCGGUGACAGCGAGGGACUCAGCACAGCAGCCAGGACUGUAUUUAAAGAACUUUGGCACUUUCUUUUCCUGAAGACAAUGGAGACAUUGAAGGAGAUGGAGCAACAUUGGGAAUAAGCAGGAGAAAAACAGUCAUAAUAGUAUAUGGUUUGGGCUCUGGUGGCUGCUAUCAGACCCAUGGGCAAUUACUGAAUAGCCUAGCCUGGAACAUUUUGAA